AACAAAAACUCCUUACUAUCCAUAGCAAUACAAAGUUUAAGCCCAUAACUAAGACCUUUAAGCUCAACAAUAAUAGUAGAACAAGGAGUUAAGACCCCCAAAAAGGCACACAGCACAUUACCCACAUGGACUGUGAUAAUUCCACCCUAGCCAGUUGAGUGGCUGUUCACAGAACCAUUAAAAUUUAUCUUCACAUAAGGAAAAAAAUGGCUACCUAGCAUAUAUAAUAUAAAAUCUGAUAAUGUUUAGAAGUUUAUUUCAAACCUACAUCAGAUCCAGGUUCCUUUCUUUAUGUUUCAAUUCAGCUCUUAAACUCAUCCCAGGGUCUGACUGAAGCUUCAUUAUGUGAUGUCGUGCAUGGAUUAUGCAAGGAAACAAAUGUAAUUGAGCAUUACAUUAUCUUGCAAAAUUGUGAUAAGUAGGCAGAACUUGAAGGCGAUGACAAACGAGCUUUGGACUCUCUUGAUGGGCGAAUGCAACUAGCUGGCGAGUCUUGAAGUUGCAACUGCUGAAGCAGCGACUAUGAUGGUUAACUUGAGUGAUACAUAUGGGAUCUCAGUCCAGCUGCUACAUGAAGUUUUGCAAGCUCUAUAAAGAUCUAAGCAGGUUAUGCUGAUAUAUCUUAUUUAUGAGAAGCAACAUAAGUUGAGAAUAAAGAUGACAAUGCACGGUCUCAAGGAUGGGCCAUACUGGCUCUUAUCUUGUUCUUUUUUUUUUUCACUGUCAUCAAUUUAUUUGUUAUGUUUUGUGAUAUUUGGCUUUUUUAUUUGUAAGCAUAUCUAAUGAUCAUAAAAUUUAUAUCUGCUGUUACGCAGAAGAUCGACAUCUAUGGUGUAAAAACUGGAAAGAACGGUGAGAUUCGUUGGAGUAUUAUGAAUUUGGUGGUCUUGGUGAAGACAAUACAAUUGGGUGAAGAUAAUGCAAAUGAAGAAUCACAAUGAUAGGGCGCAUUAGGUGGUGGAGCAUGUGGAGUGGACAAAUAGUAAGAGGAAGAACCAGAAAACAUUGCAUUUGAAUUAAAAUAACUGUAUUUUGACUUAAAAUAAGUAUGAGGUUGAAAAUGUGAAGUACAAUGUUUAGUUGUAAGUUUGAAAUUGUUUAUUAUGGAGAACAUUGUGUUUUGGUUUUAAUGGAAUGUGUUUUCUACUUUAA